rnacentral:rRNA from 1 species
AGCUCCAAUAGCGUAUAUUAAAGUUUUGUCGGCUUAAAAGUUACGUAGUUGGAUUUCUGUUGAGGACGACCGGUCCGCCCAUUGGGUGAGCAUCUGGCUCGGCCUCGGCAUCUUCUUGGCGAACGUAGCUGCACUUGAAUGUGUGGCGCGGUACCCAGGACUUUUACUUUGAGGAAAUUCGAGUGUUUCAAGCAGGCACACGCCUUGAAUACCUUAGCAUAGAAUAAUAAGAUCGGACCUCGGUUCUAUUUUGUUGGUUUCUAGAGCUGAGGUAGUGAUCAAUAGGGUUCGUUGGGGGCAUUCAGCUGUCAGAGGUGAAGUUAUUGGAUCUGCUAAAGACGGACUACUGCGAAAGCAUUUGCCAAGGAUGUUUUCA